GCUCAGAUUGAACGCUGGCGGCAGGCCUAACACAUGCAAGUCGAGCGGAAACGACAUCUUCGGAUGGGCGUCGAGCGGCGGACGGGUGAGUAAUGCGUAGAAAUCUGCCCUUUUGUGGAGGAUAACCUGGGGAAACUCAGGCUAAUACUGCAUAAUCUCUACGGAGCAAAGCGGGGGAUCUUCGGACCUCGCGCAGAAGGAUGAGUCUACGUCUGAUUAGCUAGUUGGUGGGGUAACGGCCUACCAAGGCGACGAUCAGUAGCUGGUCUGAGAGGAUGAUCAGCCACACCGGGACUGAGACACGGCCCGGACUCCUACGGGAGGCAGCAGUGGGGAAUAUUGGACAAUGGGCGAAAGCCUGAUCCAGCCAUGCCGCGUGUGUGAAGAAGGCCUUAGGGUUGUAAAGCACUUUAAGCAGGAAAGAAAAGCGCCGGAUUAAUAAUCCGAGCGUGUUGACGGUACCUGCAGAAUAAGCACCGGCUAACUCCGUGCCAGCAGCCGCGGUAAUACGGAGGGUGCAAGCGUUAAUCGGAAUUACUGGGCGUAAAGCGUGCGUAGGCGGUCGCGUGUGUCGGAUGUGAAAGCCCCGGGCUCAACCUGGGAAUUGCAUUCGAAACUGCGUGACUAGAAUAUGGUAGAGGAAGAUGGAAUUCCACGUGUAGCGGUGAAAUGCGUAGAUAUGUGGAGGAACACCAAUGGCGAAGGCAAUCUUCUGGGCCAAUAUUGACGCUGAGGCACGAAAGCGUGGGUAGCAAACAGGAUUAGAUACCCUGGUAGUCCACGCCGUAAACGAUGAGAACUAGACGUUGGUUGACAUAGUCGAUCAGUGUCGCAGCAAACGCGUUAA
rnacentral:rRNA from 1 species